AGCAGCCGCGGUAAUUCCAGCUCCAAUAGCGUAUAUUAAAGUUGCUGCAGUUAAAAAGCUCGUAGUUGAAUUUCGGGGUCAAUUUACCGGUCGUGCCUAUGGUACGUACUGGUAUUGUUGAUUCCUCUCUUCUGAGGAGCCGCGAUGUCAUUAACUUGGUGUCGCGGGGAAUCAGGACUGUUACUUUGAAAAAAUUGAGUGUUUAAAGCAGGCUAACGCUUGAAUACAUUAGCAUGGAAUAAUGGAAUAGGACGUUUGAUUCUAUUUUGUUGGUUUCUAGGAUCGACGUAAUGAUUAAUAGGGAUAGUUGGGGGCAUUAGUAUUCAAUUGUCAGAGGUGAAAUUCUUGGAUUUAUUGAAGACUAACUACUGCGAAAGCAUUUGCCAAGGAUGUUUUCAUUAGUCAAGAACGAAAGUUAGGGGAUCGAAGACGAUCAGAUACCGUCGUAGUCUUAACCAUAAACUAUGCCGACUAGGGACCGGAUGAUUAAUUUUUUAAUGUACUCAUUUCGGCGCCUUAC
rnacentral:rRNA from 1 species